rnacentral:rRNA from 1 species
AACGAACGCUGGCGGCAGGCUUAACACAUGCAAGUCGAACGGAUCCUUCGGGAUUAGUGGCAGACGGGUGAGUAACGCGUGGGAACGUACCCUUUGCUACGGAAUAACUCAGGGAAACUUGAGCUAAUACCGCAUGUGCCCUACGGGGGAAAGAUUUAUCGGCAUAGGAUCGGCCCGCGUUGGAUUAGCUGGUUGGUGGGGUAAUGGCCUACCAAGGCGACGAUCCAUAGCUGGUCUGAGAGGAUGACCAGCCACACUGGGGCUGAGACACGGCCCAGACUCCGACGGGAGGCUGCGGUGGGGAGUAUUAGACGAUGGGCCCAGGCGUAGUCCAGCCGUGCCGCGUAAGUGAGGAAGGUCUUAGGAUUGUAAAGCUCUUUGGCCGGUGAAGAUAGUGACGGUACCCGGAGAAGAAGCCCCGGCUAACUUCGUG